UUUCAUAAAUAAAGAAGACAAGCGUAAGUUUUCGAUGAUGACGGUGACGAUAGAGAUGACCAUCAUGAUGGUGAUUAUAGAGGUGACGAUGACAAUGUUGAUAGUUCAUUUGUUUUAUGGAUAUGAUAAACAUGACGGUAUUGUUGAAGAUUAUAUAUAUUACGGUGAUAAAGAAGAUUAUAAAGAUAACGAUGGUGAUGAAGACGAAAUAGAUUACGAUGGUGAUGAUCAUGAUACCGAUGAGGAUGGUGAUGAAGCUGAUAGAGAUGAGGAUGAGGGUGAUGUAGAUGAUAGAAAUGACGAUGGUGGUAAAGAUUAUAGAGAUGUUAAUGGUGAUGAAGAUGAUAUAGAUGACAAUAAUUAGAAUGAAUAUAAUAGAGAUGAGGAAGAGGAUGAUGAUGAUGAUGAAAAUGACGACGGUGAUGAAGAAUAUACAGAUAAUGUUGUUGAUGAAGAUGAUAGAGAUGACGAUGCUGAUGAUGUAGAUGAUACGAAUUUCGAUGGUGAUGCAGAUUAUAGAGAAGAUUAUGGGGAUGAAGAUAAUAGGGAUGAGGCUGAUGAUGACGAUGAUAUAGAUGACGUUGAUUAUGAAGAUGAUAGAGAUGAGGAUGAUGAUGAAUAUAAUAAAGAUAAAGAUAGUGAUGAAGAUGAUAACAGAAAAGAUGGUGAUGAAGAUGAUAGAGAUGACGAUUGUGGUGAAGAUGAUAUAGAUAAUGAUGGGGAUGAAGAUGUUAGGGAUGAGGAUGAUGAUGGCAAUGAUAUAGAUGACGAUGAUAAUAGAGAUGAUAGAAAUUAGGAUGCUGAUAAAUAUAAUAGAGAUGACGAUAGUGAUGAAGAUGACAAAGUAACGAUGGUUAUGCAGAUGAUAGAGACGAUUAUGAAGAUGAUAGAGAUGAUGGUGUUUACAAGAACUGAACUUGAGAUGAAAAUAAUAAAAAUCGAUGUUUUUGACUGGAAUGGAAAAGGACAAUAAAGUCAAUGGUGAUUAUAGAGAAGAUCAUGGGGAUGAAGAUGAUAGGGAUGAGGCUGAUGAUGACGAUGAUAUAGAUGACGUUGAUUAUGAAGAUGAUAGAGAUGAGGAUGAUGAUGAAUAUGAUACAGAUAAAGAUAGUGAUGAAGAUGAUAAAAGAAAAGAUGGUGAUGAAGGUGAUAGAGAUGACGAUUGUGGUGAAGAUGAUAUACCCGGUAGAUAAUGAUGGGGAUGAAGAUGCUAGGGAUGUGGAUGAUGAUGGCAAUGAUAUAGAUGACGAUGAUUAUAAAGAUGAUAGAAAUUAGGCUGAUGAUAAAUAUAAUAGAGAUGGCGAUAGUGAUGAAGACGAAAAAGUUACGAUGGUUAUGCAGAUGAUAAAGAUGAUUAUGAACAUGAUAGAGAUGAUGGUGUUUACAAGAACUGAACUUGAGAUGAAAAUAAUAAAAAACGAUAUAUUUGACUGGAAUGGAAAAGGACAAUAAAGUCAAUGGUGAUACGAAACAACUAGUGAUAGUUAUAUGUUAUUCUGCAUAGGUCACUAUUAACAUAUUUUACAUAUUUAAAAUACUUGUUUAUUUUGUAAUUACACUUUAUUCCUUGUUUUUUUUUAUGAAAUGAACCAAAUAUGAUUUAUAUCUAAGAGUUACAUACUUAUGUUGUUUUGUGUUUCUGUGAUAAUUACUAUGUCAUUGGCGUCGCACUGAAGUGCGGCGACUCGUAUGUAAUACGUUUUGUUUUUCGCUUAUGGGAGAAGUUAUUUUACGGAUGAAUUUAUAUAUUUUUGUUGUCAGAAUAUCUUGCAUAGUGGUGAUUUUUUGUGUAAAUUAGUGUAAAUAAGUACUGCAUUUGUGCCUAUAACAUUUACUACAACAAUUAUUGCUAAUAAUACAAGCUAAUUCUUUUAAUUUAUAACUGAUCACAGGGAUUGGGCAAUAAUAAAAGAUCACAGGAACUGGGCAAACACGCGAACCGGUGAAACUAUUUGGUUUUGUAUAAAAACAAAACAUAAUCAAAAUAUAUUUAUUUAAAUUUGGUUUCCUAACAAUAGCGCAGACUUUUGCUGUUCGAGUUUUGGUUAACGCGUAUUUUUUUCAAUUUUACAAGACGACAGCGAUUACACGGUUUAUUUCUUUAUUGAUAACCGUUACACUACAGUCACUUUUUAAUAUCUUAGUUAGAAGGUGAUUUUUCAAGCGGUUCCGUAGUGUAGUGGUUACACGCUCGCUUCACAUGUGAGAGGCCCAAGGUUCGAGCCCCAGUAGAAUUAAAUUAUUUUAUUUGUGUUCUAUGUUAACUUUUUGUUUUGAUGUAGACAUUUUAGUUUAAAUAAAUAUGCUGUUUUAGUGUAA